AUAUAGGAAUCUCCUGUAUUUUUAUAUUAAACAUUUAUGGCCAUUAGAUGGGGUAUGCGUCCUAUUAGCUAGUUGGUGUGGUAACGGCACACCAAGGCUACGAUAGGUAGGGGUCCUGAGAGGGAGAUCCCCACACUGGUACUGAGACACGGACCAGACUCCUACGGGAGGCAGCAGUGAGGAAUAUUGGACAAUGGGCGGGAGCCUGAUCCAGCCAUGCCGCGUGCAGGAAGACUGCCCUAUGGGUUGUAAACUGCUUUUACAGAGGAAGAACCACCCCACGUGUGGGGGUUUGACGGUACUCUGCGAAUAAGGAUCGGCUAACUCCGUG
rnacentral:rRNA from 1 species